rnacentral:rRNA from 1 species
GACGUAGGGCGCGAGCGUUGUCCGGAUUUAUUGGGCGUAAAGAGCUCGUAGGCGGACUGUCACGUCUGCUGUGAAAAGCUGGGGCUUAACCCUGGCCUUGCAGUGGAUACGGGCAGACUAGAGGUAGGUAGGGGAGAAUGGAAUUCCCGGUGUAGCGGUGAAAUGCGUAGAUAUUGGGAGGAACACCAGUGGCGAAGGCGGUCCCCUGGGCCGGAACUGACGCUGAGGCGCGAAAGCGUGGGUAGCAAACGGG